GGAUGUGAGGGCUAUCUGGCUGUGACAUCUGUCACCCCAUUGAUCGCCAGGGUUGAUUUGGCCGAUCUGGCUGGCUAGGCGGGUGUCCCCUUCCUCCCUCAAUGCUCCAUGUGCGUCCCUCCCAAAGCUGCACGCUCGGUCGAAGAGGAAGACCACCCCUGAUAGAGGAGGACCCUUCCUCAGUCAAGGGUAUAGGAGUAGCUGCGCUUCCCUGCUAGAACCUCCAAACGAGCUCUCAGAGGAGAACAAAAUGGCAAUUUUAUAGCUGAAAAAUAUAGUAAUAAAAAAUGUAAAACU
rnacentral:snRNA from 1 species